rnacentral:rRNA from 1 species
AAAAUUUAAUAAAGAUUUAAUUUUUUAAGAAUAAUUAAAAUAUUAUUAAUUUAAUAAAUUUUAGUAUAAUAAUUUAAAAAAUAUAAUUAUUUAUAAUUGAAUAGUAUAGUAAUAGAAAAUUGAAAUAAUUUGAAAAUAAAAUAUUUUAAAAGUAAAUUUUAAUUAUUGUAUCUUUUGUAUCAGAGAUUAUUAAAAAUUUAAUUUAAUAAAAAUUAAUCUCAAAAUUUAAAGAUUUAAUUAAAUAUUAUAAUUAAUGUAAUAUUAUUAUAUUAAAUAUUUAGUUAGAAAUGAAAUGUUAAUCGUUUUAAAUUAUAUUUAGUUUUUUUAGAAAUAAAUUUAAUUUAUUUAUUUUAAAGAAAUGUAUAUAUAUAUAUAGAUUAUUUUUUAAAUAAAAAUUUUUAAUGGGAUAAUCUUUUAAAAAUUAUUUGAAUAUUAAAAUAUUUAUUUAAUUUAAAUAAAAUUUAUAUAAAUAGGAUUUUUAUUUAAUUUUUAUUUUUUAUAAAUAAUUUUAUUUUAUUAUAUUUUAAUUAUUAAUUAUCAAUAAAAAUUUAUAAAAUUGUUUAUUUAAAUUUAUAAAAUAAAUUAAUAAUAAUAAUAUUAGUAUAUAAAAUUAUACAUAUUUAUUUAAAUUUAUAUAAUUAAAUAUAGAUAAUUAAAAAUAAUUCGGCAAUUUUUAUAUUCGCUUGUUUAUCAAAAACAUGUCUUUUUGUUUAAUAAUUUAAAGUCUAAUCUGCUCACUGAAAUUAAAUUUAAAGAGCCGCAAUUAAUUGUGCAAAGGUAGCAUAAUCAUUAGUUUUUUAAUUGAAAACUAGAAUGAAUGAUUGGACGAAAUAUAUUCUGUUUCUUAAUUAAUAAAUAAAAUUUAUUUUUUUAAUAAAAAAAUUAAAAUAAUUUUAAAAGACGAGAAGACCCUAUAAAUCUUUAUAUUAAUAUAUAUUUAUGCAAAAAUUUAUAAAUAUAAUUAAUAUUUUGUUGGGGUGAUAAAAAAAUUAAAUUAACUUUUUAUUGUUUAAUCAUUAAUUAAUGAUUUAUUUUAAAAUAAUUUAUUAAUUAUAAAUUUAAAUUAAGAUACUUUAGGGAUAACAGCGUAAUUUUAAUUUUUAGUUCUUAUAAAAAUUAAAGAUUGCGACCUCGAUGUUGGAUUAAAAUUAAUAUUAAAUGAAGAUGUUUAAUAAUUAGGUCUGUUCGACCUUUAAAAUUUUACAUGAUCUGAGUUCAGACCGGUGUAAGCCAGGUUGGUUUCUAUCUUUAAAUUUUUUAAGUUAAUUAGUACGAAAGGAUUAUUAAUUUUAUAAAUUAUUAUAAUUUUAAAAGAUUAAUAUUAAUUGAUUUUAAUUAU